CUCAAAAUGUCUGAAAAAACGCCUCUAGGUGAAAGAAAGACAGCGUCAUCAAAUGAAGCAGACACGGCCAAGGAUGUGCCGGUGUUGACACCUCCACCGCUAUCAUCCAACUCCCACACUCCACUCCGCUAGGCCAUCAUCAUCCAUGUGCCAGCCCCGUGCUCGGCACCCCACUGUCUCCUCCAGCUCCUCCUUUCUUUUUCUUCGUUUUCAUAUUCUUCUCCUAUCAAUCUGGGAAAAGGCAUUUUGAAUAACUUUCAUGGUUUUGGGAGCAACAUAGUAGACCUGAUAAAAGAUGAGUGAGUGGGAAAGUUGAGCUCUUGAACAAAGAAAGAAUUGAAUAAGUUCGAGAUUUUUACACUGCUUAAAUGGCUUGAAUAUGUUGUGAAUGGUCUUCUGAACGUAUCUCACCACUUGCUUCAAUUGCUUUGGAAAUAGAAUCAAGAAGGGAAGUAUUGGCUGAUAUAAUAUUGUUUCUAUUCUAGGAUCUGAGUGACAAUAAUGGCAAAUGUUCUAACUUCACAGGAAGCUUUGAAGAGAAGUGGAGGCUGGAUAUGGCUUAUGGUUUGUGACAUGUUUGCGGGGAAGUGGAAUCCAUUGUUUGCAUUGUUGUUACAUGGGUAGAGAUCCUAAAGAAGAGCUACAGAGAUUUGUCAGGUGAACUAGCAUGCUUUUGGCGUUUGUUUCUGUAGGUUAUAAUUCAGUUGUUCAAGAACAAGGUAUAAUUCAAGUUGCCAAUGCCUUACCAAGUAUAUAAGCCUGCAAGAAGUGGGUCUGCACUGUUUUGGUUCAUUUCCCUUCCUAUGUAGCCCACGUGGUUCAGCAGGGGGCUUGGGGGUGCAGAGCUUAGGGAAGCAAGAGUUUUCCACCUUGAUAACAAAAACGUGCGGAAACAGUUUGAUAUUUUGGCAUAAUUAGUAUUCUGAUCAAGCCUUAUUGGUGUUCGAAUCAGUGCUAUAAACAGCAUGGUCUUGUGGGUCUGGUUGAAAUUUUAAAUCAUGGUGGGCUAAUGGAUGGCCGAGGGAGCACCAUUGGCUUCAGUGAACAUCAAUUAUCGUGAUGCCAAAGAUUGGAGAAGAUAAGUUCCUAAAAAGUUCUUGCAAAUGUGUAUUGAUGGUCCAGGAAACAUGAAUAUGUCUUUCCCCCUAUUCUGAGAGAGGGAAAGAGAAGGAGCACUGCACUUGACUCGGGUACUAAUCAUGAACUGUACUAAUGCAAUCAUCAUCCGUAUUAUAAUUUAUAAGCAUGCAUGUCUUGGCUUUGAACUUUGUCCAGUCAAACAAAGAAGUUCAUAAAAAAUGAUGCUGCACCAUAUGAUUGCUUAAGAUAUGAUCAGUAAUCUGAUUAUCAUUCCAGAUGAUCAUUCGAUUGUCAGGGACCCAUCAUCCCAAUGCAAUUAUGUUGGCAUAUCUUUUUACUUUUUUAUUUUCUUUGGAAAUACUGUUGGAUGAUCCCUUCUCUUUUUCUCCCAAAAAAUACUAUCUGCAAAAUAUGUUUGCCAUGCUGAUUAAUGCUUUGCCCAAUUGAGAACUUUUAUGUUAGGGUUCAAAGCAAGUUGAGGGGAAUGGGGGCAAUCUAUGAAGAACUGCUUAUGAAUGCUA